UCUUUCACAAUUGGGGUAACCCUGAUGCAGCGACGCCGCGUGAGCGAAGACGUAUUUCGGUAUGUAAAGCUCUAUCAGCAGGGAAGAAGAUGACGGUACCUGACUAAGAAGCCCCGUCUAAAUACGUGCCAGCAGCCGCGGUAAUACGUAUGGAGCAAGCGUUAUCCGGAUUUACUGGGUGUAAAGGGAGCGUAGGCGGCCUGGCAAGUCUGGUGUGAAAUACCGGGGCCCAACCCCGGGACUGCAUUGGAAACUGCCAGGCUGGAGUGUCGGAGGGGCAGGCGGAAUUCCUAGUGUAGCGGUGAAAUGCGUAGAUAUUAGGAGGAACACCAGUGGCGAAGGCGGCCUAUUGGACGGUGACUGACGCUGAGGCUCGAAAGCGUGGGGAGCAAACAGG
rnacentral:rRNA from 1 species